rnacentral:rRNA from 1 species
GUCUAUGGCCAUACCACCCUGAAUGUAUCUCUUCAGAUCUUGGAAGCAAAGCAGGGUCGGGCCUGGUUAGUACUUGGAUGGGAGAAAAUGGAAUUAGAGGCCGGGUGUGGUGGCUC